GCAUCCCUUUUGACACUGAUGAGUUUGAAUGGAACUGUAUAAUUUCUUCACUGUUGUUGUUGAAUUGUAAGGAGAGGCCUUAUUUAUUUAGGAGCGUUCUUUUCAUCCAACUAGAAACAUCUAACAUGAGCAGUACAAGAUUUUUGAGAUCCAAAACCAUACCCGUGAUCCAUACGAUGUCAAUACGAUUAUUAUAUUUCUUAAUUUUCAUUUUUCUAAAAAAUUCUUCUCGGUGGGCGGCUAUUUUAGACUCCUUUGUUCUUUUAUUUGGUACCAGACUUCCGAGUAGGUUUUGGACCACCCUACUCCAGGACCGCACCAAACAAACUUCAGCCACCAUUUCUUUCUUACAAUCCGAAUCAGUACUAAAAAGCCAAGUAUACCACACUCUAGAUCUAGAAAGAACUGGAUAGGAUGGAAGUGGAGGAAAAGCUUUUGGGGGUCGGUGGAUUGGUAACUGCUACAGCUAUAUAUUAAACCUUGGAGGCAAUACUCAUAGCACAGAUUGGCUGUUACCAAACCCCCCCGAGCCCAAUGGUCUCUUCCUGAGGUUUCUCCAGUUCCCUUCAUGCCCUUCACAUAUGUUCAAUGGUCGAAAGAUAGGACGAAGAGGGAAAGGCAGAUGGAUCUCUGCAAGAAAUUGCUGGCGUGGGGGUCUUGGAAAGAAUACGCUUGAAAAAACCGUUUUCUUGAAUUAACUUUUUUUUGCCCAAGCGUUAAAGAAAUUUGGAAGGUUGGAGAUGAUAUCCUUUCCCAGGCCUCCCAUGCCGGUGAUUUCUUGGGUUCCCUCCCUUUCCCAAACUUGUUCUUUUAGAUCUCAGGUUGCUCUGCAUAUAUUCUGCAAUGAUUACAUGUUACUUGAGUUCUUCUUCAGGGACCAGUAAAUCAAAGGAUAUGCUUGAUUGGCUGUUAGAUGAUUUCAGUUCAUUCAUUGAGUUGGUGAACUUCAAAGCUUCGAAAUUUGUUUUUCAUUUUAGUUGUGUUAUUCGUCUGGCAAAAAAGUUGUUUGAGCUUUGAAUUUUUCCAAGGCAAAGAGUGAUAUAUAUUCCUCUAGUACCACGUGAGGUUUAUAGAGUAGAGGUAAAAGAAGAAAUCCCAUGUGAUAGAGUAAACAAAAAUUUCUUCCGGUUUGUAAUGAAAUCAACCAAAAACACCCUUCCACAGCACCCCUGUGAACAAAGCCAAAACAAGAUGAACAGAGUUGACUGCAAAAAGAUGAGAUCAUGAACUGCAAAAUAAAAAAAGUCCAGUUUGAGUAUUUACCCAAGUCUUGUGAUUUUAACUCCCAGUAAUAUUUGAGUAAUUUGUAUUAAA